CUGAUGCAAAACUCCUGCCUUCCUAGAUAAAGGGAGGAGGCUAGGAAGACUGAUGAAAUUCACAAGAAACCUAACAAGACACAAGAGGCCCUUCCCUCAGGUUAUAUGAGCAGCAAACAGUAGCAGCAAUGUUCUGCCUCUACUCAGGCUCAAACACGAUGGAACCAGCCAACCACAGACUGAGACCAACGUACCAGAACAUGUGACACAAAUCCCAGGGCCACAAGAACAGAGGGGUCAGGCCAGUCUGCAGAGGCCAGGGAUUUGGAGAGCCAGGCCCAGAAUGUACUUCCUCUCAAAGCACUUCAAAAAAGUCUUGGAUCUAAGUGCCUUUCAAAGCCACCACAAGGACUAGUUAGAAUGGGAUGGGGGCAGUUCAGUCAACAUAGGAGAGGCCAAGGCUAGACAGUGAUGUGAGCUUCCUAAUCAGUUCCUACCUGGGACCUAAAGUUCGAAAGUGACAUCUCUCGCCCUACCUAAUCAUGAAUCUUCUUUGGACUGUGUUCUCUGAGGACCUCAAGGUCUGUCCAGGACUUGGCCCUGAGAUCAUCAAAGCCACAUUUUUACAGAUCGCCAAGUUUACAGAUGUUUCCCUGAUCACUACGAGCUUUGCUGCAAUAACCUCAGGUUGCUUCCCACUGACAAGCAUCCUUUUCCCAAGUUCAUGCUGAAGAAGAGCUGUCUAGAAGAUGAGCAGCUCCAGAGGACAAGGAGAGGGCAGGCACCCUCUGAAGGAGUAAGUGUUGUCAUCAGUCAGUAAGGAUGGCUUAACAAAGGGCAGUGCUCUCCACAUAGAGUAAGGUUCAGGAAAGGGAAGCUGGGUGUCAGGUGCCAAGGGAAAUGGAAGGACCUCGGAGCUUAUUUAUGGAUGGACACAGUGUGUUUACGUUUUUUGGCAGAGCUGUGAGGCCUCCCCACCCCCACCCCAAGGACUCAGGAAUGCGUCUGCUGACCUUCAAGCUGAGAUGAAGGCAUGGGUGGGUCAAUUCAUCUUAGAGAAAUGCCUGCCCAUUCCAAAGUUAAGUACAGUCUUUCCCCAAAGCAAGAAAAGUUUGACAACUGGGAGGGAAACACAAUGAUCCCAAGGCUGCAAAAGAGGAGUAACAACCCCUACAGCAACCUACUUCAAUCUAUAGAAUUUCAUUCAUGUUCACAAAAAUGACAAGGUGCAAGGUCAGUAGUUCCUUUUUUUGAGAGAGAGAGAGUUAAC